AAAAAAAAAAUAUCGAGCAAGCAAUUCGAACUUAAAAAAAAAUAUCGUGCAAGAAUAAACGUACGAAAAAAAAUAUCGAGCAAGACUUUCGAGUGGUAAUUCUUAUUUGCCAUUCGGUGCAUUUCCGCGUGUAGCCCAGGCCGUAUGUAGCAACCGGGGGGCUGGGGGCUGCAGGGUCCAGGAAUUGGCGUUUCAGAGACUCUAAAUUUAAAAAUUUCCUUGGGCCUUCGGCCCUCGCUUCCAGCCCCCCCCCCAAUUAAAAAGAGCCUCCUACGGCCCUGUAGCCUAAAUAAUGGGAGGACCAGUAUAAUUCCAAAAAUGGUUGUUCUUUAUUUCUUUACUCCGACUCCUAUGAUGAACAUGUACGUAUAAAACUAGGAAAACUACGAUUAAAACACGGCCGUAGAAACUAAAAUAGGUGAAAUUAACCGUUUAUAGUAUAGUAUAGCAUAGUAUAGCGUAGUAUUUUCAUGUAUGGCAGGACUUAAUUUGGGACUUUAUUAGUCCUGUUGUCUGUGCCUUCAAUUUCUUAUUGUAAAACUAAUAAAAAAAAAAUAAAUAAAAAAAAUUUUUAUGGGACACGAUCAAAGGCGAGGAUAUAAGAGCGAGAGAUUGAAAUUGAGUCUGAAAAGCGUACAGGGGUAUGCGUUUCGACCUAACAGUUUUCUUCAGCAGGGUUUUUUAAGAGGGGGGUAGAUAUAAUUUGAAGAGGACAAGGAAGGAGAGUUUAUAGGAGUUCGGAAAAUAAUGUGAGACCAAGAGGAAAACAAAUUAUUACGAAAUAACUGAAAAUAACCAAUUACACAGUGAAAGGAUGUAACUACUAUACAUGUUAUUAGUCAAGUUAUCCUACCAAAGGUCUUGUUGUUUGCGGGACGUUCCAACACUACGCACUUUAUUGUUCAUCGUUCGUAUUGGUGAAGUGAAGCAAAUUUGCAGGUCCUUCAAUUAAGGGUUAACUUACUAGUACAAUAGGCCUACUCUGGGGCGGUAAAUCGCCUAAAAUCGCAUUAAAUCGCGGGUUAAAAUUGUCGAAUUUCUCUUAAAUCGCCUAAAAUCGCUUAAAAUCGCCAACAUGCAUUCUGUUUGAUA